CUGUUGGUGGGGUAAUGGCCUACCAAGGCGACGACGGGUAGCCGGCCUGAGAGGGUGACCGGCACACUGGGACUGAGACACGGCCCAGACUCCUACGGGAGGCAGCAGUGGGGGAAUAUUGCACAAUGGGCGAAAGCCUGAUGCAGCGACGCCGCGUGAGGGAUGACGGCCUUCGGGUUGUAAACCUCUUUCAGCASGGAAGAAGCGAGAGUGACGGUACCUGCAGAAGAAGCACCGGCUAACUACGUGCCAGCAGCCGCGGUAAUACGUAGGGUGCGAGCGUUGUCCGGAAUUAUUGGGCGUAAAGAGCUCGUAGGCGGUUUGUCGCGUCGAUUGUGAAAGCCCGCGGCUUAACCCUGGGUCUGCAGUCGAUACGGGCAGGCUAGAGUUCGGCAGGGGAGACUGGAAUUCCUGGUGUAGCGGUGAAAUGCGCAGAUAUCAGGAGGAACACCGGUGGCGAAGGCGGGUCUCUGGGCCGAUACUGACGCUGAGGAGCGAAAGCGUGGGGAGCGAACAGGAUUAGAUACCCUGGUAGUCCACGCCGUAAACGGUGGGCACUAGGUGUGGGCAACAUCCA
rnacentral:rRNA from 1 species